rnacentral:rRNA from 1 species
GAGUUUGAUCUUGGCUCAGAAUGAACGCUGGCGGCGCGCCUAACACAUGCAAGUCGAGCGUGAAAGUCCUUCGGGGCAAGUAAAGCGGCGGACGGGUGAGUAACACGUGAGUUACCUACCUUUUAGUGAAGAAUAACUUCGAGAAAUCGAAGCUAAUGCUGCAUAAUUCUUUCGAGACAAAGGUGGCUUUUUGCUACCGCUAAAAGAUGGGCUUGCGGACUAUUAGCUAGUUGGUGAGGUAAUGGCCCACCAAGGCUUUGAUGGUUAACCGGCCUGAGAGGGUGUACGGUCACAUUGGAACUGAGAUACGGUCCAGACUCCUACGGGAGGCAGCAGUGGGGAAUCUUGCUCAAUGGGCGAAAGCCUGAAGCAGCGACGCCGCGUGGAGGAUGAAGGUCUUCGGAUUGUAAACUUCUGUUAAGUGGGAAAAAAUACUUUUUGCUAAUAUCAAAAAGGGAUGAUUGUACCACUAGAGAAAGCACUGGCUAAUCUCGUGCCAGCAGCCGCGGUAAUACGAGAGGUGCAAGCGUUAUUCGGAAUCAUUGGGCGUAAAGGGUGCGUAGACGGCAUUAUAAGUCUGUUGUUAAAAUUCUUGGCCUAACUGAGAGUCUGCAAUGGAUACUGUUUUGCUGGAGGGUGAGAGAGAGAAGUGGAAUUCUCGGAGUAGCGGUCAAAUGCGUAGAUCUCGAGAGGAACACCGAUGGCGAAGGCAGCUUCUUGGCUCACUUCUGACGUUGAUGCACGAAAGCGUGGGGAGCAAACAGGAUUAGAUACCCUGGUAGUCCACGCCGUAAACGAUAAUCACUAGAUGUUGGCUUGGUUUUCCGAGUCAGUGUCGUAGCUAACGCGUUAAGUGAUUCGCCUGGGGAGUACGGUCGCAAGACUAAAACUUAAAGGAAUUGACGGGGGUCCGAACAAGCGGUGGAACAUGUGGUUUAAUUCGACACUACGCGAGAAACCUUACCUGGGUUUGACAUACUUGAGACAGCUCUAGAGAUAGAGUCUUUUGGGCGAAAGUUCAAACUCAAGAACAGGUGCUGCAUGGCUGUCGUCAGCUCGUGUCGUGAGAUGUUGGGUUAAGUCCUUUAACGAGCGCAACCCUUGUUGCUAGUUGCUACUUGCUUAUGCAAGGCACUUUAGUGAGACUGCCUGGGAAACCAGGAGGAAGGUGGGGAUGACGUCAAGUCAGCAUGGUCCUUAUGUCCAGGGCUACACACGUGUUACAAUGGUUGAUCACAACGGGGCGCAAUUCCGCAAGGAGGAGCAAAUCCUUAAAAUCAGUCUAAGUUCAGAUUGAGGUCUGCAAUUCGACCCCAUGAAGUUGAAAUCGCUAGUAAUCGCGUAUCAGAACGGCGCGGUGAAUACGUUCUCGGGCCUUGUACACACCGCCCGUCACGCCAUGAGAGUUGCUUAUGCCCAAAGUUGUUUUAGCUAACCUGUAAAGGAGGCGAAUACCUAAGGUGUGGGUGAUGAUCGGGGUGAAGUCGUAACAAGGUAACCGUA